AAAAAAAACAAUAAAUAUUGGGAUUCCCCAUACAUAGAACUGAAACUCAAAAAUUUUUUUUUCAUCAAACCCAUACGUGUGGAUAGGUCUUCAAAAAUGAUAUUGAGGUUUUUAAUAUAAUUUUUUUCUAAACUGAAUAGUUUGCGCGAGAGACACUUCCAAAGUGGUAAAAUGUGUGUCCCCCCCCACCCCUCCCUGUAACUUCUAAAAUAAGAGAAUGAUAAAACUAAAAAAAAAUAUGAUGUACAUUACCAUGCAAACUUCCACCGAAAAUUGGUUUGAACGAGAUCUAGUAAGUAGUUUUUUUUAAUACGUCAUAAA